GAUGAAGAACGCAGCGAAAUGCGAUAAGUAAUGUGAAUUGCAGAAUUCAGUGAAUCAUCGAAUCUUUGAACGCACCUUGCGCUCCUUGGUAUUCCGAGGAGCAUGCCUGUUUGAGUGUCAUUAAAUUCUCAACCUCACCAGUUUUGUUAUGAGACUGUGUG
rnacentral:rRNA from 1 species